rnacentral:rRNA from 1 species
GACGUAGGGCGCGAGCGUUGUCCGGAUUUAUUGGGCGUAAAGGGCGCGUAGGCGGCGGGGUAAGUCGGGUGUGGAAUCUCAGAGCUCAACUCUGAAACUGCACUCGAUACUGCUCUGCUUGAGGACUGGAGAGGAGACUGGAAUUCACGGUGUAGCAGUGAAAUGUGUAGAGAUCAUGAGGAAGACCAGUGGCGAAGGCGGGUCUCUGGACAGUUCCUGACACUGAGGCACGAAGGCCAGGGGAGCAAACGGG